GAUGAACGCUGGCGGCGUGCCUAAUACAUGCAAGUCGAGCGAACAGAUGAGGAGCUUGCUCCUCUGCCGUUAGCGGCGGACGGGUGAGUAACACGUGGAUAACCUACCUAUAAGACUGGGAUAACUUCGGGAAACCGGAGCUACUACCGGAUAAUAUAUUUAACCGCAUGGUUCAAUAGUGAAAGACGGUUUUGCUUUCACUUAUAGAUGGAUCCGCGCCGCAUUAGCUAGUUGGUAAGGUAACGGCUUACCAAGGCAACGAUGCUUAGCCUACCUGAGAGGGUGAUCGGCCACACUGGAACUGAGACACGGUCCAGACUCCUACGGGAGGCAGCAGUAGGGAAUCUUCCGCAAUGGGCGAAAGCCUGACGGAACAACGCCGCGUGAGUGAUGAAGGUCUUCGGAUCGUAAAACUCUGUUAUUAGGGAAGAACAAAUGUGUAAGUAACUAUGCACGUCUUGACGGUACCUAAUCAGAAAGCCACGGCUAACUACGUG
rnacentral:rRNA from 1 species